GUAUACUCAACCUUCUAUUGAAUAUACAGCAUGUGUACUGCCGUUGCAAGCAUACCUCUAAAAGACCAAGUAUGCUACUAUGACUAAAUAACUCAUAUACAUCAGGUCAAAGUGCAGCCCAUAAGAAGGUGAUGAUGGGUUACAACCUAAAAACAGACUAUCAAAUAAGAAAUUAAAAAUCUUACGAAAGUGGACUUGGCUGUAAUCAAUUUACAAGUUAAAUAAAUGAAUAAAAAUCUAAGGCAUGCACACAUCGCCCGUCACUCUACCCCAAAGGGUAGAUAAGUCGUAACAAAGUAGGGGUAAUGGAAAUUGCCCCUGUCGAAGUAUAGCAUAUAUAAUGCUUUUUACUUACACUAAAAAAAAAGUUAAUACUUACUUCGCCCAAGGAAAAUAAUCUUAGUAAUAAUAUAUAAUAAAAACAAAUAAGCAACCGAAAUAGUAAAGUACAGAAAUGGAAACAAUAAUAAAUAAAAGUAAAUUUUAAAAAGUGUACCUUGUGCAUUAUGGUUUUACAAGAAUAUAAUUAAAAAUAAAAAUCCCGAAUUCUAAAUGAGAUGUUAAACUACUGCUAUAAUAGAGCCCAUUAAUAACUGUAGAAAAAGUUUUAAAAGAUAGUUUAACAGAGGCUACAUACCAUCCGCAUAAGAAUAUAGCUGGUUUUUAACAAACAUUAUACAUUAAAACAUAUAAUUAUAUUAUAGUGUAAUAUUAUUGAGGACAAGCCCAAUAAUACAAGUAAUAUUAAUAAUAACCAAAUCUAAUAUAUAGGCCUAAAAUCAGCCAAUUAAAAUACUUUACCGUAAAAGGUAGGGGCAAAAUAAAUAUAUUAAUAUACUAAAUAAAGUUAAAAUAAUAGACAAAUCAACUAAUCUACAUAUACUAUGUAAAAAUAAGUAUUAUAAAAUCACAAUAAAAUUAAUCAAGAAUUAACAACACACAAAAUAAUAAUAUUUAAUUAAGGAACUCGGCAAAUUAUUAUUUCGACUGUUUAAC
rnacentral:rRNA from 1 species